AUCGAACGCUGGCGGCAUGCUUUACACAUGCAAGUCGAACGGUAACAGGCUGCUUGGUUCUGACGAUUGGCUAACGGGUGAGUAAUGCAUCGGAACGUGCCCAGCUCUGUGGGUUAACUUCUCGUAAGAGUAGUUAAUACCCCAUCCGAUCUAUGGUCGAACUCCGUGGUCGGUAUGGCAUCGCUCGAUUGGUGCGGGCGAUGUCAGCUUAGGUAGUUGGUGUGGUAAAGGCUCUCCGUGCCGACGAUCUGUACCUGUUCUGAGAGGGCAACCAGCCACAGUGGGACUGAGAGACGGCACAGAGUCCUAGGGGAGGCAGCAGUGGGGAAUUGUGGACGAUGGGCGCAAGCCUGAUCCAGGAAUGCCGCGUGCAGGAAGAAGGGCUUCGGGUUGGAAGCUGCUUUUGUACGGAACGAAAGGGCUCUGGUUAAUACCAGGGGGUAAUGACGGUACCGUAAGAAUAAGCACCGGCUAACUACGU
rnacentral:rRNA from 1 species